UGCGGGGUAGAGCAGUGGUAGCUUAGGACCGUUGUCAGGUUCAGGUCGAAAGGUUCGAAUCCUUUCCCCCGCACCCA
rnacentral:tRNA from 1 species